GACACGGAACACCAGCAGAAAUCAGAAGAGAUCAUGGCUUCCAGGUUAAAGACCUUUGCUCAACUUUCUGCUGUUCUGAGUUAAUCUUUCUCUACCCAGCCAUCGGAGUGACCGUCACAGGAUCCCAUAAAGGGAGAGGGAAAGGUGUCCACUGGAAGCAGAGGCUUGCAGCAGCUGCCCACUGCUGGGAACUCAGAAAAGAAACCAGGACUCCAAAGGUUCGAGUACAGACAGUCAGCAAAAUGUCCUGCAAGAGAAUCCUGGUUCUGCCAAGCCCUACCAACACACCAGAGGAUCCUUUGGCUGUUGUGUCCGAUGGUCUUUGAAACCCCCUCUGCUGAAGUCUGCAGUGAUCACUCCUUCCAUGGGCUAAGGACCUACUCCCAGAGCUGUGGAGUGUGACAAUGGUGUUUGUGUGCAGUCUAUCAAACGCCAUUAUCACACUAAAUAGUUCCUGGCAGACAAGGCAGCAGGUCAGAAAGGUUUGGGAUCUCUGGCAAUACAUCUUCCCACUGUACUGAGGAAUAAACAACCGUGGUACGUGCACAGCAGGAUGACUCUGCUCCUUCUUUUAGAGGCAAAAGCACCAGAAUAUGUGAGAAAUCCAUGCUUUGACACAUGCACUUCCAGACUGCAUUGUAAAGCACACCAGACUUCUUAAGGAAUCAUCACUAUACUGUCAUCAUUAGGAAAGUGGAUUUCCUUGGCAUUAACAGGGCUAUAUUUACCUCUGAGACGUCAGCUUGUGAUUUUCAUGGAACUGACCAGGACAAUAAAACUGAAGGCAAUUAGCCAACAGAAUGAAAUUCCAUCUCUGACUGUGGGACCAAACUACAACAUACGUUUGGAAUAUUAAUUGGCUGAGGUGCUCAUGACGUUUUUCAAACAGAACACUUCCCAAAAUUCUGAUAAAAAUCUAUUGCCUCUAA